UUUCCUGAAUUAUGCCUGUCUGUUCUUCGACACCGGCAUUCCUCGGGACACGGUGCAGCGCCGUAUUCAAGAGACCCUGCUCUUUCUCUCUUGCACCCUUAGAAAGAAGCAGGCUGUUGAUUUCGUCUUCAAGGACAUUGGCCAUCUGGUGUUCCACAAGGGCUGAGUCCAAAUGCAGUUUUCCACCGACUGCGUUCCUCAGCACACCAUGGCAGAGCAGCAGGAUCAUGACUUCAGCUUUAAGGCCACUGGCUGUGUGGUUCUCUGGAAACCUGUCUCAGUAGGCGAGGGAUGAUGCGUUCAGCCACAUCUGGCCCUCUCACAGAUGAGCUCUGGUAGCAUAGUUAUCUUUCCCAAGCUGAGUGAGAAGACUUGCAUAUGGAACGAAUGUGAAAGGUGCUGGCGUGUACAAGCUAAAUAUUA